AAGAUGGAUUCUUAAUAAAAUUAUGUACUUGCUUAAUGGCAUUGUGCGCAAAUAUUUGCAGAGAAAGAUCUGCCCCUCGUUGAAAACGCCGCUUGAUGAUUUAAACACACAGCUGGCAACAUUAAAUGUUACAGCCAAAGUAAGUGAAUAUG